AUCGCUUCUCAGCCUUUUGGCUAAGAUCAAGUGUAGUAUCUGUUCAUUUAAGGGCUCCAAAGUCCUUGAGGAGAAUUAAAAACUUUGUCAUCUUGGGCUGGAGCGCCAAUAGCUCCUCAGUCUCCAGGAGCCCUGAGGAGUCAGGGCAAUGAGUGCUGGGAGCAGGGCUGUGGGCCCCAGCACUGUCCACAGGUGACUAAUGCCU
ensembl:snRNA U2 U2 spliceosomal RNA